rnacentral:hammerhead_ribozyme from 1 species
AUCCAGCUGAUGAAACCUAAAUAGGACGAAAUGCGCAUCCGGGAU